GCAGCUCAGUGGUAGAGAAACUGCUUGGUAUGCAGAACAUCCCAGGUUCAAUUCCUGGCAUAUCCA
rnacentral:tRNA from 1 species